UCUUCUUAGUUCAGUCACUCGGUGCGCGAUGUGUUACUCACAGUGCGGCGGGGACCGCGCAGAGCCCGGGUCGCCGUUGGCAGCAGGAGCAGCAGCAGCAGCAGCAGCAGCAGCAAUAGUCCCGGCAGCAGCGCGGACCCCGAGUGCCCAGGCGCACCCCGGCACCCCGAGCGCGGUGCAACGGCGGGACUAGAGCCUUAGGCUCGGCCCCUCGACUAGGGGACCCCGACUCUCCUCUCUCCAGCCAGCGAGUCCCCAAGGCACCGCCCGAGACAGAGCCCGGGAGGCAGCAGCGGCCGCGGGCAGCCGGCGGCCAGGCGUUCGGCCACCGCCGGCGCUGGGCAUCCUCUGGGCUCCGGAUCGCGGAGGAGGGUGCUGCGCCACCGCCGCUCGGUGUCGGCUCCCCCCGCGGCGGGCCUCCCCGAACCUUCCCUACCUUCUGGGCCCAAGGGACGUGGGCUCGAGCGGGCAAGCAGGGGUGAGGGAGCAGCCCCCGCCUGCGCCCCCUCCGAGCCCCUUGACACUGGGCUGGGCAUCGCGGCCUGAAGUGCCCGGGAUGGCGAGCCCGCCGCCGCUGCAUGGGGCCCCGGCGGCGCCGGCGUCCGCGGCGGGCGGCGAUGGCCCCAACCUCAACAACAACAACAACAACAACAACCACAGCGUGCGCAAGUGCGGCUACCUGCGCAAGCAGAAGCACGGCCACAAGCGCUUCUUCGUGCUGCGCGGGCCCGGCGGCGGCGGCGCGAGCGGCAGCGGCGACGAGGCGGCGGCGAGCGCGGGCGGCGGGGGUCCGGCGCCGCCGCAGCCCCCGCGGCUCGAGUACUAUGAGAGCGAGAAGAAGUGGCGGAGCAAGGCGGGCGCCCCGAAGCGGGUCAUCUCCCUGGACUGCUGCCUGAACAUCAACAAACGCGCCGACGCCAAGCACAAGUACCUGAUCGCCCUUUACACCAAGGACGAGUACUUCGCCGUGGCCGCCGAGAACGAGCAGGAGCAGGAGGGCUGGUACCGCGCGCUCACCGACCUGGUCAGCGAGGGCCGCGCGGCGGGGGGUGCCGGCGGCAGCGGCGACUCGGCGAUCCCCGCGGCCGGGGCGGCGGGGAUCCACGCCGGCGGCGGCUCCUGCAGCGCCUCCUUGCCCGGCACCCUGGGCGGCUCAGGCGGCGGCUCGGAUGACAGCAGCUACGGGCUGGCGGCGUCCUCCGCGGCCGCCUACCGCGAGGUGUGGCAGGUGAACCUGAAGCCCAAGGGCUUGGGCCAGAGCAAGAACCUGACGGGUGUGUACCGCCUGUGCCUGUCGGCGCGCACCAUCGGCUUCGUGAAGCUCAACUGCGAGCAGCCGUCGGUGACGCUGCAGCUCAUGAACAUCCGCCGCUGCGGCCACUCGGACAGUUUCUUCUUCAUCGAGGUGGGCCGCUCGGCCGUCACGGGCCCCGGCGAGCUGUGGAUGCAGGCCGACGACUCGGUGGUGGCCCAGAACAUCCACGAGACCAUCCUGGAGGCCAUGAAGGCGCUCAAGGAGCUCUUCGAGUUCCGGCCGCGCAGCAAGAGCCAGUCCUCGGGCUCCUCGGCCACGCACCCCAUCAGCGUCCCCGGCGCGCGCCGCCACCACCACCUGGUGAACCUGCCCCCCAGCCAGACGGGCCUGGUGCGCCGCUCGCGCACCGACAGCCUGGCCGCCACCCCGCCGGCCGCCAAGUGCAAUUCGUGCCGGGUGCGCACGGCCAGCGAGGGCGACGGCGGCGCGGCGGCGGCGGCGGCAGCGGCAGCGGCGGCGGCGGGAACCGGGGCGGCGGCGGGUAGCAGGCCGGUGUCCGUGGCCGGGAGCCCGAUGAGCCCGGGGCCGGUGCGGACCCCUCUGAGCCGCUCCCACACCCUGAGCGCCGGCUGUGGCAACCGCGCGAGCAAGGUGCUGCUGGCGCCGGCAGGGGGCGCCCUGCAACACAGCCGCUCCAUGUCUAUGCCCGUGGCGCAGUCGCCCCCGGCGGCAGCCACCAGCCCGGGGAGCCUGUCGUCCAGCAGCGGGCAUGGCUCGGGCUCCUACCCGCUGCCUCCUCCCCCGGGCCCGCACCCGCACCUGCCACAUCCCCUGCACCACCACGCGGCGGGACAGCGACCCUCCAGCGGCAGCGCUUCCGCCUCUGGCUCCCCCAGCGACCCCGGCUUCAUGUCCCUGGAUGAGUAUGGCUCCAGCCCUGGCGACGUGAGAGCCUUCUGCAGCCACCGGAGCAACACGCCUGAGUCCAUCGCCGAGACGCCCCCUGCCAAGGAUGGGAGUGGGAGCGGCGAGCUAUACGGGUACAUGACCAUGGACAGGCCCCUGAGCCACUGUGGCCGCCCCUACCGUCGGGUAUCGGGGGACGGAGCCGCCCAGGACUUGGACAGAGGGUUGAGGAAGAGGACUUACUCCCUCACCACGCCUGCCCGGCAGCGGGCGGUGCCCCAGCCCUCCUCCGCGUCCCUGGAUGAGUACACCCUGAUGCGGGCCACCUUCUCCGGCAGCUCCGGCCGCCUCUGUCCCACCUGCCCCACGUCUUCUCCCAGAGGGGCCUAUAACCCUUAUCCGGAGGACUACGGUGACAUUGAGAUCGGGUCCCAGAGGAGCUCCAGCAGCAACCUGGGCACGGAUGAUGGUUACAUGCCCAUGACCCCCGGAGCGGCCCUCCUGGGUGCUGCCGGCAGUGGCAGCGGCAGCUGCAAGAGUGACGACUACAUGCCCAUGAGCCCCACCAGCGUGUCCGCGCCGAAGCAGAUCCUGCACCCACGGGUGGCUGCUGCAGCAGCUCUGCCCCCGACGGGCCCCGCAGCGCCGGCACCUACCAGCGUGGCGGGUAGGGCCUUCCCGGUGAACCGAGUUAGCUACAAGGCUAGCUCCCCGGCGGAAAGCUCUCCCGAGGACAGUGGCUACAUGCGCAUGUGGUGCGGCUCCAGGCUGCCUCCGGAGAACACCACGGACAGCAAGCUGCUUCCCAACGGGGACUACCUCAACAUGUCCCCCAGCGAUGCGGGCACCUCGGGGACCACCCCGCCGGACUUCUUCACCGCAGCCUUGCAUGGCGCCAGCGGGGAGAUGCUCAGGAGCAUGCCCGGCUACUGCUACAGCUCCUUGCCCCGUUCCUACAAGGCUCCCUACACCUGCAACGGGGACAACGACCAGUAUGUGCUCAUGAGCUCCCCCGUCGGGCGCAUUCUGGAAGAGGAGAGGCCAGAGCCUCAGGCCACCAGCGUGGGGACCACGCACCAGGCCAACAGGGUGGUGGCUGGGGUAGGUGGGGGCAGCCAUGCCCAGCCUCCUCACUCCGCAGUGCCUUCUGCAGGGAGGCAGAGUGGCAGUGGCAGUGGCAGUGGCCGCCCGGAGGGCUUCCUGAGCCAGCGCUGCCGGGCGGUGAGGCCCACGCGCCUGUCCCUGGAGGGGCUUCAGACCCUACCUAGCAUGCACGAGUGCCCUCUGCCGCCUGAGCCCAAGAGCCCGGGCGAGUACAUCAACAUUGACUUUGGCGAGGCCGGAGCGCGCCUGUCGCCCCCGGCCCCUCCGAUGCUGCUGGCCUCGGCGGCCUCGUCGUCCUCGCUGCUGUCCGCCAGCAGCCCGGCCUCGUCCCUGGGCUCCGGCACCCCGGGCACGAGCAGCGACAGCCGGCAGCGCUCCCCGCUCUCGGACUACAUGAACCUGGACUUCAGUUCCCCCAAGUCCCCCAAGGCGGAUGAUGAGACCCAGAGUGGGGACCCCGUGGGCUCCUUGGAUGCCCUCUUGUCCCCCGAGGCCUCCGGGUACCCGCCGCUGCCCCCGCGCCCCGCCGCCCCCUCCUCCUCCAGUUCGCAGCUGCAGCCGCCUCCGCCGCCCCCUCCAGGGGAGCUGUACCGCCUGCCUCCUGCACCCGCAUCCCAGGGCCCCAGCGCCGCCGCCUCUUCUUCGUCCUCCUCGGAGACAGGGGACCAUGGUGACUACACCGAGAUGGCCUUUGGCGUGGCUGCCACGCCGCCGCAGCCCAUCGUGGCCCCCGCGAAGCCGGAAGGCGCCCGCGUGACCAGCCCCACGUCCGGCAUGAAGAGGCUGAGCCUCAUGGACCAGGUGUCCGGGGUGGAGGCCUUCCUGCAGGCCGGCCAGCCCCCGGACCCCCACCGCGGGGCCAAGGUCAUCCGUGCAGACCCGCAGGGCGGCCGCCGCCGCCACAGCUCGGAGACCUUCUCCUCCACCACCACUGUGACGCCCGUGUCUCCGUCCUUCGCUCACAACCCCAAGCGCCACAACUCGGCCUCCGUGGAAAACGUGUCUCUCAGGAAAAACAGCGAAGGGAGCGGCAGCGGUGGCGUCCUUGGUGGGGGCGACGAGCCCCCCGCGUCCCCUCGCCAGGUGCAGCCGCCGCUCCCCCAGCAGGCGCGGCCGUGGACACCGAGCCAGCCUGGGGGCCUGGUGGGCUGCCCAGGGGGCAGUGGCUCUCCCAUGCGCAGGGAGACCUCAGCUGGCUUCCAGAAUGGCCUCAACUACAUUGCCAUCGACGUAAGGGAUGAGCCGGGGCUGUUGCAGUCUGCACAGCAGCACCCGCACCUGCAUCCGCAUCCGCAGCCAGGUGACAAGAGCACCUGGGGCCGGACCCGGAGCCUCGGGGGCCUCAUCAGCACUGUGGGGGCCAGCAGCACCGGUGGUGGGGUGUGUGGGGGGCCAGGCCCUGGAGCGCUGCCCUCCAACGCCUAUGCCAGCAUUGACUUCUUGUCCCAUCACCUGAAGGAGGCCACCAUUGUGAAAGUGUUGCUUACUGUGAGGCCAGUGAGGCCCUGUUCCCUUCAUCAGUGCCAUGGAGCCCUCCAUGGGAUUGUCUGCAUGGGCUGCACAUGAAACUCUGCACUGAGCUCCAUAUGGGGCCUACAUGGAGCCUUACAUGGGACUAUAUGUGCAGCCCUACAUGGAGCUAUAUAUGGAGCUCUACAUGGAGCUGUAUAUGGAGCCCUACAUAGAACUGUAUGGAGUCCUCCAUGGAGCUGUGUAUAGAGCCCUCUAUGAACUGUUUAUGGAGCCCUACAUAGAACUGUGUAUGGAGUCCCAUGUUGCUGUGUUUGAAGCCCUCAAUGGAGAUGUGUAUGGAGCCCUACAUUGAAUAGUAUCAUGGAGCUGUAUAUGGAGCCCUCCAGAGAGCUCUACAUUCUAGACCUGAUGUUUCAAUGUAUCUUCCACUAACAAGUCUGAAAUCAUGGAGCCCAGUGCACAGGUGCCGUGGCAUAGUGAAGACCUGCCUGGCUUCAUACCACAACAUCACACAUCAGAGAAUCACAUGAAGAAGAAGAGGCUCAGCGUUUUAAAAACAUUUGAAGCUGCUUACAAUUGUUCUUUUGUAUCUGAGCAAUGACUUUGUUUUAAAACAUCUGUGGCUGUCCUAGACAUGAAACCAACAAGGCAAGAACAGCCGCCUCCCUCACUGGUUCCCACAGGGGGCAUUCAUCCUUAUGCUGUUUGUGUUGUGUUUUGUUUUGUUGUUUUAACACAAUUUACCGAAGAAGUGUAAUUCUCAAGAAAAUUGGGUGUUUUCGUUGGCCUUUUUAAAUUGUGGCCAGUGUCUUAAUUUUCUUCUUAGGUUCAUUUUGGCCAAGCCAAAUUGUCCCUCAGCAUGCUAGGAGAUUCUACCAAUACCCAUGAAAGUGGUAAAAUCUGGUAUUUACUGGCAUACACUCAAAACUACCACAGUCCUACCUCAGUUCCAGGUGAAGCCGGAUUUGCAGGAUUGGGGGCCGGCAGGACCUCCGUGUAUCUCUGCUGAAUGCGGCGCAAGUGUGGUCAUCAGCCUUAUUCAACUGGUCCCAGUACACAGCUGCUUGUCGGACUCCAAUCCAGGUUCCUGCGUGUUUACUCAACAGACAGAGCCCAGUGUGGGACUGACAUUUCUCUAUGGGAAUGAAAUGUGUGAUUGGACUUUGAAGAUGGAUGAAUAAAUAAUAAUUAUAUGUAACUGAAGCAGCCUACUUUUGAAAAUCAUCAACUGUAUUGGGUAUUGGGGGUGGGAGGGGAGGUGUUGGGGAAGAGGCUGACUAUCUCUUUCUAACGGACGUGUUGAAUCUUCUCUAUGUAGAUGUGUGUGUAGGUACUUCAGAUUGCGAAAGCCUUUGAUCCUAUCUACAAGCUCAAAUGUCUCUACUGUCCUUAAUUUUGAGCUUGCAUUUCUGUAACCAAAAAAAUCACCUAGGCAUGCUAGCAAUUCAAGGGUGGUCACAGGUUUAGCAGAGUUUUUAAAAAUGUAUUUAUUAUCUUGUCUAUGAUGCUAUGGUGUGGGCCAACGAGGCUUCCCUGAACAACAGUACAACAAAACAACGGGAGGGGUGAGUGAAGGAAAGAAACUGAUACAAGAGGCAUUUUAGGCCCUCUUGUUGUUCAUGGGAAAAGAAAAAAAAUAAGGAAAACAAUCUCACACUACAUGUCAAGUGUUGAAAACCUCCUGACAAGACUGCUCUUACGUUUCCAGUGUUCUGAAAAUACCAGUGUUGUGUCGAUUAUCACAGGUGUUGCCUAACACUGCUGCCCUUGACCAGCAGAAUGUCACAUCAUCUCGCUGCUCCCUUGACACUUGGUGGAGGGCUCUCGACCUUUUUCUCCCAUGGGUGCAUCCCCAGUGCCUAUCUUCUCUGAUAGUCCUGAAGAGGUUACACUAGUUCAUUGGAGGUGUGAACUUGUUUUUUUUUCCUGUUUUUUUUUUCUUGGAGAAAAAAUUAUAUAUAUAAAUAUAUAAAUAUAUAUCGCUAUAGGAUAAUGCAUUAAUAAAAAUGAGGCUUUUUAAAGAGGAAGACCAAAAAAUUCAAUGUCUUAAGAAUAUAUUUAAUGGCAAUGCAAACGUCUUCCUGCUUCCGUGCUGAACUUUUAGAACAGAGGAUUGUAUUGCAAGACAAAGUUGAAUGUAAAGUGGUCCCCGGGACAUUUUCUAAAAGUUUUACUUUUCUAAAAUUACCCAUCACAGCAGUGCAUAGACCAUAUGACAUUAGUUGGAAGGUCAACUUCAGUGUAUAAUAGGCAUACUUUAUAAAAAAAUGUAUAAAAUGUCCUAAAGUUUUGAUUUAGUCUUGGGACUAGGACUCGGGUGGUAUUUGCUAUGUGACUCCUCCAGGUACGUAGGACUGAAUAUGGACCCUACUGAAUACAGUGUAUGACGGUAUUUAAGUAGCUCUCUAUACUUAGAGUAGUCAUGCCACUAUACCAAUGGUUCAUGUUCAUACUGCAACUUCAAUCUAGCAAAUGACACGUCGGUAGUAUACUAAAUUUUCCUCUAUCCUGUACAUUUCAAAAAAGGCAUAUGCAAUAUUUACAUUUUUAAUUUAGUUUACAGAAUGGAACCAAAAUGUAUAAAUGUUAUGUUUGCUAAAACUUCACAAUGUAUAUUGGGGUCUUUGUACAUUUUGCCUGACUUACCUUAAAUUUAAAAUAUUUUUUGCUAUAUAAACUUUAACAGUUAUUAAACAGUGUUUUCUUUUUUGGGUACGUAUUUGUUCCUGGAUUUCAAGAUGUUAAAUAUAUUUCUUGCUAUUGUGAUAUGACAAAAGACUUAACUAAUCUUGCUCUGUCUUCCACUGUACACGCUGUAUAUAAGGGUCAAUGUGAUGCUGCUGGAGACAAGAAUAAGUGGAACUAGAAUAGUGCAUUGUAUUUAGUCUGUAUUGAUCAUGGAUGCUCUCAAUAGCCAUAUGCAAUAAAAUAAAAUACAUUAUUUAUGAAAUGAA